GACAGAGGAGGCAAGCGUUGUCCGGAUUAACUGGGCGUAAAGCGUCCGCAGGUGGCACGGCUAGUGGGUGUGAAACGAGCGGCUUAACCGCUCGAGGCCACUCCCAAACUGCCGCGCUGGAGCCGGGCAGAGGUGACGGAAUUGCCGGUGUAGUGGUGAAAUGCGUAGAUAUCGGGAGGAACACCAGUGGCGCAAGCGGCUGACUGGCCGAGACCUGACGCUGAGACGCGACGGCGUGGGGAGCAAACCGG
rnacentral:rRNA from 1 species